UUUUAUUUGAGAGUUUGAUCCUGGCUCAGGAUGAACGCUGGCGGCGUGCCUAACACAUGCAAGUUGAGCGAUUUACUUCGGUAAAGAGCGGCGGACGGGUGAGUAACGCGUGGGUAACCUACCCUGUACACACGGAUAACAUACCGAAAGGUAUGCUAAUACGGGAUAAUAUAUUUGAGAGGCAUCUCUUGAAUAUCAAAGGUGAGCC
rnacentral:rRNA from 1 species